CCUACGGGAGGCAGCAGUGGGGGAUAUUGCUCAAUGGAGGAAACUCUGAUGCAGCGACGCCGCGUGAGGGAAGACGGUUUUCGGAUUGUAAACCUCUGUUUUUGGGGAAGAAAAUGACGGUACCUAAAGAGUAAGCUCCGGCUAACUCCGUGCCAGCAGCCGCGGUAAUACGUGGGGAGCGAGCGUUGUCCGGAAUUACUGGGUGUAAGGGGAGCGUAGGCGGGUGAGAAAGUUGAAUGUAAAAUCUACGGCCUUACCAGAGAGCUGCAUUUAAAACUUUUUGUCUUGAGUGAAGUAGAGGCAGGUGGAAUUCUUGGUGUAGCGGUGAAAUGCGUAGAGAUCAGGAGGAACACCAGUUGCGAAGGCGGCCUGCUAGGCUUUAACUGACGCUGAGGCUCGAAAGCGUGGGGAGCAAACAGGAUUAGAUACCCGUGUAGUC
rnacentral:rRNA from 1 species